rnacentral:sRNA from 1 species
GCCAGCAUCACCUGCAGUUGCAAAACACAACGCAGACGAAGCCAAUACAUCCACCCGUACAAACCCUGAACCGUCAACAAAAGAAAGAGAGAAGCUCUUUCAGCUUACCUCGCGGCGUCGCUGAUCUUGUCCCUGUAGUCACCCUGACCUCUCACAGCUGCGCCGGACCUCGGCACGGCGGCGGCGUUCGCCGCCGGCGGGCAGACAGACACGGCGCGGUAUCGGUCGUCCUGCGCGUGCGCGACGAAGCCGGUCACGGUCUGCGUCGCCGGAGCUUGCACGUGAUGAGGCGGCGGCCGCACGGACGACAUGGCUCCAUUGCCACCAGCAGCAGCUGGUGCUGCAGCGUCGUCGGCGACGAGGCGUGCCUGACGCCGGCGGCGCCGGCGCAGCACGCGCACUGGUCGGCCUGGCGGCGGAGCGCGGCGUUCUCGGCGCGCAGGGCGGCGUUGUCGCGGCGGAGGCAGGAGACCUCGCGGUAGCACCCCUCGGAGGGGUCGCGCUCCCGCCACCGCGCCUCCCAGGUGAGCGUCUCGGCGGCGCGGCGGCGCGCCGCCUCGGUGGCGUUGGCCUUGAUGAGCUUGGUGAGGUUGGCCACCCCGAAGACGAGGUGCAGCGCGCGGAAGUCGUUCAUCCUGUUCGCCGGGAAGUAGGCGGCCAGCUCGCAGUUGGGCUCGCACUUGCGCCGCUGGUGCUUGCACACCGCGCACGCCCC